rnacentral:rRNA from 1 species
CACGUAGGGGGCGAGCGUUGUCCGGAUUUAUUGGGCGUAAAGAGCUCGUAGGCGGUCUGUCGCGUCGGCUGUGGAAUCCCGAGGCUCAACCUCAGGCCUGCAGUCGAUACGAGCAGACUAGAGUGUUGCAGGGGAGACUGGAAUUCCUGGUGUAGCGGUGAAAUGCGCAGAUAUCAGGAAGAACACCGGUGGCGAAGGCGGCCUGCUGGGCAGUAGCUGACACUGAGGCGCGACAGCGUGGGGAGCAAACAGG